GCAGGGUAAGUGACCAAGGGGGUACAAAAGGGGCUGCUGAGCCCAGCUAUGGCUUCGGAUCUGAACCAGAGUCCUCCUCUCAGAUCAAAGGGUAAGAGUCUUUGGAUCUGUUGCCGUUUGAAGAACGUGAAGAGGGGCAUCAAAAAUCAUGGUGAAUUUAAAGAGCAAGGCUUACUACAGACACCUGGGAAGCAGUUCUCAAGGGACACUCUGGAUUCCAGAUCUCAAGUCUGCAAGAUUGUCCUUGGUCUACAGGACACUUGCUAAGAAACCUGUAAAAAGAUAAGAAGUAGGCGUGCCAGCACUCGGGAGGCAGAGGCAGGCGG
rnacentral:lncRNA from 1 species